GGUGGCGACCGGCGCACGGGUGCGUAACGCGUAUGCAACCUGCCUUAUGCAGGGGGAUAGCCCAUGGAAACGUGGAUUAAUACCCCAUAGUAUCAUUUUAUUGCAUAGUAGAAUGAUUAAAACUUCGGUGGCAUAAGAUGGGCAUGCGUCUGAUUAGCUUGUUGGUGAGGUAACGGCUCACCAAGGCGACGAUCAGUAGGGGUUCUGAGAGGAUUAUCCCCCACACUGGUACUGAGACACGGACCAGACUCCUACGGGAGGCAGCAGUGAGGAAUAUUGGUCAAUGGGCGCGAGCCUGAACCAGCCAUCCCGCGUGCAGGAUGACGGCCCUAUGGGUUGUAAACUGCUUUUCUACGCCAAGAAACCCUGUUACGUGUAACAGGUUGCCGGUAGCGUAGGAAUAAGCAUCGGCUAACUCCGUGCCAGCAGCCGCGGUAAUACGGAGGAUGCAAGCGUUAUCCGGAUUCAUUGGGUUUAAAGGGUGCGCAGGUUGGCUUGUAAGUCAGUGGUGAAAUACUGCCGCUUAACGGUAGAAUUGCCAUUGAUACUGCGGGUCUUGAGUAUGGUUGAGGUAGGCGGAAUGUGUUGUGUAGCGGUGAAAUGCAUAGAUAUGACACAGAACGCCGAUUGCGAAGGCAGCUUACUAAGCCAUUACUGACGCUGAGGCACGAAAGCGUGGGGAGCGAACAGGAUUAGAUACCCUGGUAGUCCACGCUGUAAACGAUGUUCACUCGCUGUUUGCGAUACACAGUAAGCGGCUGAGCGAAAGCAUUAAGUGAACCACCUGGGGAGUACGAUCGCAAGGUUGAAACUCAAAGGAAUUGACGGGGGCCCGCACAAGCGGAGGAACAUGUGGUUUAAUUCGAUGAUACGCGAGGAACCUUACCUGGGCUUAAA
rnacentral:rRNA from 1 species